UCGAGAAUUUUUCACAAUGGGGGAAACCCUGAUGGAGCGACGCCGCGUGGGGGAUGAAUGGCUUCGGCCCGUAAACCCCUGUCAUCUGGGAACAAUGCUCAUUCAAUAACACUGGAUGAGUUGAUAGUACCGGAAGAGGAAGGGACGGCUAACUCUGUGCCAGCAGCCGCGGUAAUACAGAGGUCCCAAGCGUUGUUCGGAUUCACUGGGCGUAAAGGGUGCGUAGGUGGUGAGGUAAGUCGGAUGUGAAAUCUCCGAGCUCAACUCGGAAAUGGCAUUGGAAACUACCUUGCUAGAGGAUUGGAGGGGAGACUGGAAUGCUUGGUGUAGCAGUGAAAUGCGUAGAUAUCAAGCGGAACACCAGUGGCGAAGGCGAGUCUCUGGACAAUUCCUGACACUGAGGCACGAAAGCCAGGGGAGCAAACGG
rnacentral:rRNA from 1 species